rnacentral:lncRNA from 1 species
AACCAUAUCCUCUCAUGUUUAUUGUUCUGCAAAUUAAAUCAUUGAUUUGUUAUCUUAUUUUUUCAACAGGCAAAAGAGUGAUAAGGGGAAAGCUCGCAAUGGAUAUAGCCAUGAAGGGGAUAUAUAUAUAUAUAGAGAGAGAGAGACACACAAAGUAAUUAUGUUCUGUGAAUUCUGCAAAAUGCUGAAUUUUGUAGAAGGAAUUUGCUUUUGGUCUAGGGUAAUGUUCAUGAACUUCAUCUGACACUAAAGUUAGUGUUUGGAUCUUCCAUACAUUGAUUUUUUUUUUUGAUAUAUUUUUU